GAUGAACGCUGGCGGUGUGCCUAAUACAUGCAAGUCGAGCGAACAGACGAGGAGCUUACUCCUCUGACGUUAGCGGCGGACGGGUGAGUAACACGUGGAUAACCUACCUAUAAGACUGGGAUAACUUCGGGAAACCGGAGCUAAUACCGGAUAACAUGUUGAACCGCAUGGUUCAACAGUGAAAGACGGUCUUGCUGUCACUUAUAGAUGGAUCCGCGUCGCAUUAGCUAGUUGGUAAGGUAACGGCUUACCAAGGCAACGAUGCGUAGCCGACCUGAGAGGGUGAUCGGCCACACUGGAACUGAGACACGGUCCAGACUCCUACGGGAGGCAGCAGUAGGGAUUCUUCCGCAAUGGGCGAAAGCCUGACGGAGCAACGCCGCGUGAGUGAAGAAGGUCUUCGGAUCGUAAAACUCUGUUAUUAGGGAAGAACAAAUGUGUAAGUAACUAUGCACGUCUUGACGGUACCUAAUCAGAAAGCCACGGCUAACUACGUG
rnacentral:rRNA from 1 species